rnacentral:rRNA from 1 species
AUUGAACGCUGGCGGCAUGCUUUACACAUGCAAGUCGAACGGCAGCGCGGGCUUCGGCCUGGCGGCGAGUGGCGAACGGGUGAGUAAUACAUCGGAACGUGCCCAGUAGUGGGGGAUAGCUCGGCGAAAGCCGGAUUAAUACCGCAUACGACCUGAGGGUGAAAGCGGGGGAUCUUCGGACCUCGCGCUAUUGGAGCGGCCGAUGGCAGAUUAGCUAGUUGGUGGGGUAAAGGCCUACCAAGGCGACGAUCUGUAGCUGGUCUGAGAGGACGACCAGCCACACUGGGACUGAGACACGGCCCAGACUCCUACGGGAGGCAGCAGUGGGGAAUGUUGGACAAAGGGCGAAAGCCCGAUCCAGCAAUGCCGCGUGUGUGAUGAAGGCCUUCGGGUUGUAAAGCACUUUUGGCGGGAACGAAAAGGACUGUGCCAAUACCACGGUUCGAUGACGGUACCCGCAGAAUAAGCACCGGCUAACUACGUG